ensembl:lncRNA
UCUAGAUUAACUAGGCAGGGACCUGACACAGAAAAACUAACUGGUAGGGACAGAUAGAGAGGGACAGAGAGAAGGAGACGGAGGAGAGAUGGAGGGAGAGACAGGAUGGGAAAGAGGAGAGGCAGGGAAAGAUACCAGCAUAGAGUGAGUUCAGGGAAAGAAACGGAGGGAAUUCAGUAAUAAGGAAGGGAAAAAAGAGCCACAGAAAGGUCUGUUACUUGGCUUUGAGGACAGGGACAGCUGAGAUUUUAAUGGGAUUCUUAAACUUAAGAGUAAUUCUUGACCGACAGAGACAGACCAACGAACACAGACUCUCACACUUUAACUUGCACAUGCUGUACAUUCAGUACAUGUAACAGACUGUAGGUGGCACUAUAAUUUAGACUUUUUAAGACCUACUACAUGUAGUUAGGGACCGACAGGUGUCUAAAUUCUGUUCAUUUUCUGGGUGAUACAUUUCUUUUCCGGGGAAUAGGAUUCAGUAUAAAUUACUUCAUCCAUAGUCACUGAAACAAUACUUAACUGUAAGAUAAUCUAGCUAUCUUCAUCUGUGUUUCCUACCUUCAUUUUUGACCAGAGUGCUGCUUCACAGAGCUUUCUAUCUAUCAGACGUAUUCCUGUCACAUUUUCUACCUGAUCAAACCAGAGUAAGAGAGCAGGAGGGAAAAAAACUAAGCAUCUUUUCCUCUUGGCUUCACAGCAACCAUUCCUCUAGGAAGGGAGGAUUAGGGCUAACACAUUUGUUUUCUCUCCAGAGGGGGAGGAAAUAUUACCAAGAAAAUCACAUUUUUAGUUGUCUCUGUGCAGUUUUGUGCGUGUGAAUGUGCACGCGCGCACGUGUGUGCAUGUGCAGUUUAUAAAUCCUUACUUCGGCAUUCUGUGUUAACAGUCCGUGAAAUGUGUAUUGUUUUUGAUAUGGUACCGAGCUAAAACUUGACUCCCACCGCGAUGUCCUUUGGCACCUGUUAACUGUGACCAAGUGUGUGUGUUUGUUUGUUUUUUUGUAUGUGUGUGAGUGUGUAUGUGUUUGUCUACAUUCGUACUGAUAUCCAUUUGAUGCCAUAUCAAUAUCUUAAGUAAAACAGUGAUUGGCAGUGUCAUUGUGAUCUUUAUAAUGUUUUAAAACUGGUCCUUUUUUUGCUGCUACUGAUGAUUCUUGUUUUUGUUUUUGUUUUGUUUUUUUAUAUAGUGGAUUUAAAUUCGCACACUUAACACAAAAAAUGAAUUAAUGCUAUUUUCAGUGACUGUUAAGUUGUUUUUUUGCACUUUUUAAAAAAAAUUUAUUUUACCUAUAUUUUGUUUUUGUAUGGAUUUUUUUUUUAACCUCACCCAUAUGAUAUGGUUUGACCCUAAUGUCAGUGUUUGUCAUACUGUGUUGCACUGUGAAAUUAAGUGUCUGUGACUGGCAAAAAUAUCCCAAUACUAAAUGGCAAAUAAAAAUAACUUUGUGAAACUGCGACUAAUCCGCACUUUUACAAUGACUAACCUUGCCAUAUUGCUGAGUGGUACGUGUGUGCGUGUGAAUGUAUGUGUGUGUGUGUGUGUGAUCCUGCAUGUGUAGGUGCGCAUGAGUACCUUUUUUUUUUUACCUAUGAGCAUGUUUUUGAUAGUUUAGUUAUGAUGUGUGCACAGUAGGGAUGCAAAUGAUAUUUUCUUUCUGUAUUUGGAAGGGUUGUAGCCUGCCCCAGCAUACUUUGUGUGCAUGCUCAGUGUCGGUGUUUUCACUUUGCGUGCGUGAAAGUGUGUGUGUGUGUGUGUGUGUGUGUGCAGUUUGAUGGAUAUUUUAGAAAAAAAUGAUUGCCCUUUACACACCAACACACCACCUCAAAUCACAAUAAGACAAGAGCACAGUACACUUAAAAUAAUAAAAGCUAGGACACUGCCAAAGAGCAAUAGCCACUGAAAUUUUAAAAGCAGACAGUGAUUAGAGGUGAGCUGCUAUUUCCAAUAGUCACCUUGUUUGUCGUGCUGGUGUAGAGUUAGACGCACAGUGGGGCUUUUAUGGAUAAUCAUUGUUAAGGUUUUUCCAGCAAAAUUGACUACAGGGAUUUUUUUUUUUUUCCAUUUGAUAAUCUGCCAGUGUUUUGCAGCAUGUUGACAUUUGGAAACACGCAGUGGUACUUGGUUUGACCUAGACUGUGACCAUAGAGAUAAUCAAACCGAUCCUUAGUUAUUUCAAAUAUGAGAUAAUCUCAACCCCAGUUUAAUUCUCUCGCCACUGUCUCUUAGUUCAAAGCUUGAAAACACAUAAAAAUGUUUGUGGUUGCUUGUUUUUUGCUUUACUGCUAUUUUUUUUUUUUUUUUUUUAAAUCUUCAUGAGCAGUUUUUGUAUUGGCAAGGUCGGUGUAUUUUGUUUCUUUGUCUUCUUCAGUGCCAGCAAGAUUAUGAUGAAUUUGAAGUGAAAGUGGGGGCAUCACGGCUUCUUUAAGAGGAAAAGAAGCAGUUUAUGUGUCCGUUCUGUUUAUAUAAUAAAAAGCAUGAU